UCUCAGGCAGGCAUUACUGUCACUGUCUUUUAAAGAAACAUGCUCAUAUAAACAAGUUUUAAUACAUUUGUACAUAAAUGUUGUUUAGAAAAAAAUGAGUGCAUUGCAAAGGUACUUGCAUCGUGUGGCAGUGUAUUCCCAAAGAUUUUUGAGAAACAGUUUGCGAAUCAAACGAAAAUCGUAGCGGGAAAGCACGGAUCCGUUCAGUAUUUCUGAGGAGCGGUUUAUUGAAAUCUUUCGACUACCAAAAGAUAUAUGUCGAAGCGUUUACGCAGAAAUUUGCCCUUACAUGCGGCAAAAUGCAUCAAGAGGGCGUUCAAGAAUGUUAAGAUUCCUUGUAGCAUUGCGAAUUUUUGCCCAAGGAAGCUAUCAACGUUAAGUUUGCCAAGACUUCUUGCUCAAUGUGUCCCAAAGCAGCGUUUGCAGGUGCAUCAGGGAAAUUGCAAGCAUAAUGGACAGACAUUUAUUAACCCAAUAUAUAAAGUUCCCAUCGACAAUUGACGAAAAGCAGCUUAUAAAGGAAAAAUUUUAUGAAAAAUUCAGAUUCCCAGGAGUAUUAGGAGCGAUUGACGGCACGCACAUAAAAAUAAAGGCACCAUCGGAGGACAUCGAACAUCGAGGGCAUUCAAUAAAUGAGCAAGUCGUGCGUUCAAUAAACCUACAUACAUAUAUAUGCAUAUAUACUUGUACGCUCGCGGACGUAUGUAGAUGCUAUAGCACUAUUGAAAUUUUCAAAUCAU